GACGGGCUACGUCGGAGUGUUGUCUUAGAUUCGAAUGCAUGAGGAACUGGAAUAAUCAGUAACAUUUCUCCCAGACAGAGCUGCUCUAAGCUGUGGGCCAACAGGAGGCUGGGAGCUCUCCUCUAAAUUGCUUUGUGACCUUGGACAAGAACCCUCCCCUUCCUGGACUGCAAAUUUCCUCCUCUGUAAAAUGAAGGGUUAGAAAGGGUCUCGUUCUGUUGCCCAGGUGAGCCUGGAGUGCAGUAGUACAGUCACAGCUCACUGCAGCCUCAAACUCUUGGGCUCAAGAGAUGUUCCUGCCUCAGCCUCCCAAGUAGUCGGGACUACAGGCUCUGGCUGAGAACAUGGCCAAUGACAUUGAUGAGCUCAUUGGCAUUCCCUUCCCCAACCACAGCAGUGAGGUCCUGUGCAGCCUCAAUGAGCAACGGCACGAUGGCCUGCUGUGUGACGUGCUCCUGGUGGUGCAGGAGCAGGAGUAUCGGACCCACCGCUCCGUCCUGGCUGCCUGCAGCAAGUACUUCAAGAAGCUUUUCACAGCCGGCA
rnacentral:lncRNA from 1 species